rnacentral:lncRNA from 1 species
UCCCCAUUGAAGAUGCAGCUUUCUUUCCAUAAGCCAUUUUCAUUCCUUAUGCCUUCGUGCUAACUUAAGCCGAUGUAGUUGGAGUGGAAGUUUUCUUUUUUGGGGUUCCUCCCGAGCCAAACGAUCUUCUUUCAGUUUACCGAAAAAAACGAGGUUAUCGCUGGUCCAUACGAGUCAAUAGAUGGGGUCCACAGGAGGGACUAUCCUCUAUACGAGUCCAGGCCAUGGAAUUUCAUC